rnacentral:rRNA from 1 species
AAUAUGGGACAAUGGGGGCAACGCUGAUCCAGCCAUGCCGCGUGUGUGAAGAAGGUCAUCGGAUUGUCAAGCAUUUUAAGUUGGGAGGAAGAGUUGUAGGCUAAUACCUUGCAAUUUUGACGUUACCAACAGAAUAAGCACCGGCUAACUUCGUGCCAGCAGCCGCGGUAAUACGAAGGGUGCAAGCGUUAAUCGGAAUUACUGGGCGUAAAGCACGCGUAGGUGGUUCGUUAAGUUGGAAGUGAAAGCCCCGGGCUUAACCUGGGAAUUGCUUUCAAAACUGACGAGCUAGAGUACGGUAGAGGGUAGUGGAAUUUCCUGUGUAGCGGUGAAAUGCGUAGAUAUAGGAAGGAACACCAGUGGCGAAGGCGACUACCUGGACUGAUACUGACACUGAGGUGCGAAAGCGUGGGGAGCAAACA